GUGACUUUCUCAUUGCUACACUGGCCAACGAGACGGCUCUUCUACCACAGGACUCUGGAAGUGAGACAUAGCUUCUGCUUCCUGAGCAUUCUCUGCAUGCCCAGCUCACUGC